rnacentral:rRNA from 1 species
GAUGAAGGGCGUGGCAAGCGACGAUAUUUUCCGGGUAGGCGCACGCAGCCUUUGAACCGGAAGUACCUGAAUGAGACUUCUCAUAUAAUCCGAAAGGAUGGAGAACAUGGAGAAUUGAAGCGUCUUAGUAUCCAUAGGAAAAGAAAUCAAUUGAGAUGUUGUAAGUAUCAGCGAGAGAAAGCAACACAAGGCAAACUGAAUCUUUAAAAGAGAUUUUAAAGAGAUGUGGUUUUAUGAGGAUUGUAUUCAAACCCUAGCUAAAAAAUCUAAACUCUUCUGGAAAGAAGGGCCAUAGAGGGUGAUAGCCCCGUAAGAAUUUUUUAGUGGGUCUUACAAUUUCUCGAGUACAAUUCAUUGAGUUUUGAAUUGGAAUUUGGGAGUAAUCAACUUCCAACCUUAAAUAUAAAUUGAGUCCGAUAGCGCAUAGUACUGUGAAGGAACGUUGAAAAGAACCCUUAACAGGGAGUUAAAAGAUCCUGAAACCUAAUGGAGAUAGCAUGAUACGGCUUUUAGGAGUUGUAUCGUACGUUUUGAAUAACGGACCAGGGAGUGUAUCUAAGUAGCAAGGUUAAAGAUUUAAAUCUGUAGCCGAAGGGAAACCAAAAGUCUGCAAGCAAUGAGAGACAAGGUGUGAAAGUGCCUUAAGUUAUUUGGAUACUACCAGAAGCCAGGCGAUCUAACCCGGGACAAGGUGAAGUGAAGAUUUUUCUUCAUGGAGGCCUGAAGGGUUUCUACGUGCAUGUGUUCCUCUGAUUUUGGGUUAGGGGUGAAAAGCCAAUCGAGCUUGGUAAUAGCUGGUUCCUGUCGAAGUGGACCGUAGUCCAGCCUCAAGGAAGGUUAUUAAAAUGGUAUAGGUACGGAUUAGAGAUUUUGGAGAUGAAAGUCUUCGGUUUCUUGUCCAACUCAAAAUGUUUUAAUACCGUAGAUCUUGGGAGACGGGGGCAGUCGGUAAGCGUCUGUCCCGAGAGGGGAACAACCCAGACUACAGUUAAGGUCCCCAAAUGUUAGCUAAGUAUUAAAGGGUGAAAGGUGUAUAUUACCAGAGACAGCUGGGAGGUAGGCUCAGAAGCAGCCAUCCUUUAAAGAAAGCGUAAUAGCUCACCUGUCAAGGUGAUAUGCCCUUAAAAUGGACGGGGUUAAGCUAACUACCGAUACUGUAGAUAAUGAAAAUUAAUAGUAGGCAGGCUUGUUGUUCGGGUAGAAAUUAUAUCGUAAGAUGUAGUGGACCGAAUAAUAAAGAGAAUCCUGGUGGUAGUAGGAUCAACGCAGAGUGAGAAUCUCUGCUACCGAAAGGGCAAGGGUUUCUUAGCAAUGUAGGUCAACUAAGAGUAAGUCGAGCCUAACCAAUCCCGUAACUGAAGAUUGGGAAAGGAAAAAGAGUUAAUAUUCUCUUACUACUUAAAUACAUACGGCAACGUAAGCUUAAUUUCUGACGUUUCUGACUAGACUGACAUUUACUGUCGUGAGUGUUAAUUAGAAUAAAUCAAUGGAGUAUCGUAAUGAUGAGAAGUUGAUUAAAUCUAAGAAUAGCAGGUCUUAUGAUUUGUUUGGUUUAUGCCAGGAGCCCAUGAAAAAGGAAUUAAGAUGGAUUUUAAGUACUCGUACCCAGAACCAGCACUGGUGCCCAAGGUGAGAAGCCUAAGGUAAGAGGGAGUAAUCUAAUUGAGGGAAAUCGACAAAUUGGCCCCGUAUCUUUGGUAUAAGGGGUCCCUGUGGUUGUAAGCAUAUGUUUGCGAUUACAGGGUUCAAUAACUAGGGAAGUCCGACUGUUUAACAAAAACUUAACUUCUCGCUAGCCUGUAAAGGUUUGUAUGGGAGGUGACUUCUGCCCAGUGCCAGUACCUCAAACUUGAGUUCAAUUGAGCUAAGGGCUGGUAAACGGCGGGAAUAACUAUAAUUCUCUUAAGGUAGCAAAAUACCUUGUCGUUUUAUUGACGACGUGCAUGAAUGGCGUAACGAGAUUUCCAUUGUCCCCAAUUAGAAUCCCCCGAACACACUAUUCUGGUGCAAAGGCCAGAGAUCUCCAGUGGGAAGUAAAGACCCCGUGAAACUUUACUGUAGCUUGUUAUUGUAGUACGAAUCUUGUUGUGAAGUGUAGGUGGGAGUUAUUGAUACUUGAUCGUCAGAUUAAGUGUAGACGAAAGAUGGGACACCACCCUUUAAGAUUUGUAUUGCUUAUUUGACAUCUGUCAAAGACACUAACUGGUAGGCAGUUUGCCUGGGGCGGGACCCUGCUGAAAAGGUAUCAGUAGGGCCCAAAGGUCAGCUCAAUCCAUUUAGAACUUGGAUGUAGAGUGCAAGAGUAAAAGCUGGCCUGACUCGAUUCUAAAUAUGAAGGAAUCGAGAAAGGAAACUUGGGUCUAGCGAACCCUUACGCUCCUUUGAUAGGAGUUAAGGAUGACAGAAAAGUUACUCCGGGGAUAACAGAGUGGUCGCGCCUAAGAGCUCAAAUCGACGGCGCGGUUUGCUACAUCGAUGUCGGCUCUUCCUAACCUGGGCGUGCAGAAGCGCCCAAGGGUGGGGGUGUUCACCCAUUAAAAGGGAUCGUGAGCUGGGUUCAGUACGUUGUGAAACAGUACGUAUAAUAUCUACUGGAGAUGUUAAAAUAUCUGAGGGGAAGGACCUUUUAGUACGAGAGGAACAAAGGUUCGAGGCCUCUGGUUUACCGGUUAUCCGGCAGGGUAGGCCGGGCAGCUACGCCUCAAAGGAUAAGAGCUGAAAGCAUCUAAGCUCGAAACCUGCCUCGAAAAGAGAUAUAAAGUUCGAGCAAAAGACUCGUUUGAUAGAACUGGGGUGUAAGUGC